GACGUAGGGCGCGAGCGUUGUCCGGAUUUAUUGGGCGUAAAGAGCUCGUAGGCGGCUUGUUGCGUCGGCUGUGAAAACCCGCGGCUUAACCGCGGGCCUGCAGCCGAUACGGGCAGGCUAGAGUUCGGUAGGGGAGACUGAAUUCCUGGUGUAGCGGUGAAAUGCGUAGAUAUUGGGAGGAACACCAGUGGCGAAGGCGGCUCACUGGACUGGUACUGACGCUGAGGCGCGAAAGCGUGGGGAGCAAACGGG
rnacentral:rRNA from 1 species